rnacentral:rRNA from 1 species
AGCGAACGCUGGCGGCAGGCCUAACACAUGCAAGUCGAACGAACUCUUCGGAGUUAGUGGCGGACGGGUGAGUAACACGUGGGAACGUGCCCUUUGGUUCGGAAUAACUCAGGGAAACUUGUGCUAAUACCGAAUGUGCCCUUCGGGGGAAAGAUUUAUCGCCAUUAGAGCGGCCCGCGUCUGAUUAGCUAGUUGGUGAGGUAACGGCUCACUAAGGCGUCGAUCAGUAGCUGGUCUGUGAGGAUGACCAGCCACACUGGGACUGAGACACGGCCCAGACUCCUACGGGAGGGAGCAGUGGGGAAUCGUGCGCAAUGGGCGAAGGCCUGACGCAGCCAUGCCGCGUGAAUGAUGAAGGUCUUAGGAUUGUAAAAUGCUUUCACCGGGGACGAUAAUGACGGUACCCGGUGAAGAAGCCCCGGCUAACUUCGUG